UGAGAAAGUAAGUCACCAGGUCUGGGACUCGAACCAUGGUCUGCCAUGUGGGAGUGUCUACUGCCUCAACCACCAUGCUGGCUGCUGGCCCCAUCUGGGACCUGGCUUUCAAUACCACUCAUUAAGAAGCAGUUGCUCACCUUCCAGUAUUCGCGAUAUUCUUUUUUUCAGUGUGCUACAGGUUAUGUGUGGUUGCUAGGAACAAAAAGAAAAAGUGAGAAAGCGCCCCAGAGGGGGGCACAGUAUUGGAAACCCCUUUCCUCCACUCUCCUCUCCGGGCAUGCAGUGUGCACACAAGCACACAGAUGCAUGCCCACAUGCAGUGUCUUUCAGGCUUCCUUACAGCUACAUAGAGCCAUGUGACUGUGUUUCGGCCAAUGUGAUGAACCCAAGGGUCCAGAUCCCACCUGUCAGAGGAGUGGGGAACUUACAGGAGAGACGCACUUCUAGGCAAGAAAUUGCUGAUCUCCUUCCACAAAUGCAUCAAGGAGAUGUUGGAAGGCGGACCAGCUGAGAGCCAUCUAAUCAACCCGUCUGCUUUCUGCAAAUGAAGCAGCCGAAGCAUCAUUUAAGGAAGAGGAAGGCAGCUUAUCAUCGAGGGUGACGAGGACAGGGGUGAAGGACCGGGUCGAGGCCUGGAGAGCAGCUAGGAAGCUCUCGCCCACUCGCGACAACAUGGCCACCCAGCAACCACCUGACCGGCAGGAGGCGGAGC